rnacentral:misc_RNA from 1 species
GAUCGCCGUGUGCGGUGAAAGCCGCCUGCACGGUGAAGGCUCGAUACGAAAGUCACAUUUAUGUGAUAUAAGACGAGAAU